CGAUACUCCACUCAUCUUUCUCGAUUCUAUUGACAUAAUUUGGUUUCUUCUAUAUUAGUGAAAUCAUUACAUGACAGUGGAUCUUGCUUGGUACUUGUCCGAGGGGAGAUCCAUACUCAACUCAUCUUUCUCAAUUCUACUGACAUGAUUACUUGGAAUUGAUUGUCGUGAACUCAAUCUCUCAUAUAGGCAUAGUUGAAUAUCGCGAAGCAAAAACCCAAACUUGAAUAUCGCGAAGCAAAAGGCUACAUCAGACGAUGUACAAGUUUUUCAAAAAUGAUUUGAUCGAUUGGUGUGUUUCGAUCUUGUUGAUUCACUAGGUAAAUCACAGCCUCAUCCUUCUAUAUUACCUGUUGAUCGAUCAAAAAAAGCACCUUACCUCGGAUCAAGAAAAAAGAAGAAACCGAAUCUCGGAAAACGACAAAUCACACAGUUGAACAAGGUGGGAGUAGCUCGUGUGAUCUAGUCGAAGGUCCAUAGGAAACUGAUAAGGAGAGGGGUCUUCCAUCUCACUAUUCUAGAUUCUACCGAAUUAGUUGGAAUUGAAUUCGUCCAAGAUUAAAUGCCAGUUGAAUGUCGACUAGUGUUGAAGGUCCAAGCUGUACUCGACUCAUAAUUUUGCUUUUCUAUACCUUACUCGUGAAAUCGAUGAUGAUUACAUGACAGUUUAAUGUCGCCUUAUUGCUUGAUCCUUAUCUUGUAUCCAAACCAUACUCAACUCAGAAUCUACUGACGAUCGACCACCAACUCAUGAUUACAAAAACCCUCUCUUCGAAAACCCAAUAAUCAUAAACCAACUCGUCGACUUUGGUUGAUCCUUCACUUGGCCAAAGGUCCUAGCCGUACUUCCCUCCACUCAUAAUCACCAACUCUAUCAAAUUUUUAGAAUUGAAAUGUUUGACUAUUACAAAAGUACAU